ACUGUCAAUCUUUUGUGAGAAACCCAUAAGAGCAGAAGAUGGGUCGCUCAGCAGCAGUACCUGGAUUUGGGAACUCAUUACUGGUGGAGAUUAGGAUGACCACAAAUCUCUCUGGCUUUAAAGCAAAGCAAAGCGAAAAACUUACUUCCUUGGCUUAGUUCUCACUUUUUCAUGUUCUCCAGAUGAAGGUGAGAAAGAAGAAGAGAGAGGAAAGAAGCAAAGGAAAAAGGAAGACUGAGAGAAGAAAGCAAACAGAGGGAAGAGAUGGGAAGAUGGUAGACAAUGCCCUUAGAAGGACCCUCACUGAGAGGUUGAACAUUCGUACAUUCUGGAGACAACAGGAUAUUUUUCACUUAUCUAACUGUAGUUAAAUCAAGAAGUCAUGCUGAGCAGCAGUGUUUUCUUCAUGCAAAGAGAUGGUGAAAUUCAAGGUUUUACUUUUUCCAGCAGUGAAUCAGCAUAUUUGUCAGGCUCUGGGAGCUUACACAAAAAGUAAGUUUAGCAUCUUAAUAAUGUUCCUGUCUGUCCAUCCUAUCACAAAUUUUUGUUCAAUUUUCUCUU
rnacentral:lncRNA from 1 species